GGCUGGAUAAGGCGUUCACGCCGCAUCAGGCAGUCGUGCCCAACUGCCUGAUGCGACGCUUGACGCGUCUUAUCAGGCC
rnacentral:ncRNA from 1 species